rnacentral:rRNA from 1 species
UCCGUGCCAGCAGCCGCGGUAAUACGGAGGAUCCGAGCGUUAUCCGGAUUUAUUGGGUUUAAAGGGAGCGUAGAUGGAUGUUUAAGUCAGUUGUGAAAGUUUGCGGCUCAACCGUAAAAUCGCAGUUGAUACUGGAUAUCUUGAGUGCAGUUGAGGCAGGCGGAAUUCGUGGUGUAGCGGUGAAAUGCUUAGAUAUCACGAAGAACUCCGAUUGCGAAGGCAGCCUGCUAAGCUGCAACUGACAUUGAGGCUCGAAAGUGUGGGUAUCAAACAGGAUUAGAUACCCUGGUAGUCCACACGGUAAACGAUGAAUACUCGCUGUUUGCGAUAUACUGCAAGCGGCCAAGCGAAAGCGUUAAGUAUUCCACCUGGGGAGUACGCCGGCAACGGUGAAACUCAAAGGAAUUGACGGGGGCCCGCACAAGCGGAGGAACAUGUGGUUUAAUUCGAUGAUACGCGAGGAACCUUACCCGGGCUUAAAUUGCAGAUGAAUUACGGUGAAAGCCGUAAGCCGCAAGGCAUCUGUGAAGGUGCUGCAUGGUUGUCGUCAGCUCGUGCCGUGAGGUGUCGGCUUAAGUGCCAUAACGAGCGCAACCCUUGUUGUCAGUUACUAACAGGUUCCGCUGAGGACUCUGACAAGACUGCCAUCGUAAGAUGUGAGGAAGGUGGGGAUGACGUCAAAUCAGCACGGCCCUUACGUCCGGGGCUACACACGUGAUACAAUGGGGGGUACAGAGGGCCGCUACCACGCGAGUGGAUGCCAAUCCCCAAAACCUCUCUCAGUUCGGACUGGAGUCUGCAACCCGACUCCACGAAGCUGGAUUCGCUAGUAAUCGCGCAUCAGCCACGGCGCGGUGAAUACGUUCCCGGGCCUUGUACACACCGCCCGUCAAGCCAUGGGAGCCGGGGGUACCUGAAGUGCGUAACCGCGAGGAGCGCCCUAGGGUAAAACUGGA